rnacentral:rRNA from 1 species
CCCGUCUUGAAACACGGACCAAGGAGUCUAGCAUGUAUGCAAGUUAUUGGGAUUUAUUGUCAAACUUUUGUUAGACAAUAGAGUAUUUUGAAAUAAAACCCAAGAGCGAAAUUAACGUGACUGUUAAUGGGAUUAUAUUUAUCCAUUAUAUAUUACAUAUAUGGAUAAAUUUCCAUCCCGGGGCGAUUUAUAAUUAAAAUUGCAAAAUUUUAUGAAAUCGUACCUUGAGCAUACAUGGUAGGACCCGAAAGAUGGUGAACUAUGCCUGAUCAGGUUGAAGUCAGGGGAAACCCUGAUGGAGGACCGAAGCAGUUCUGACGUGCAAAUCGAUUGUCAGAAUUGGGUAUAGGGGCGAAAGACCAAUCGAACCAUCUAGUAGCUGGUUCCUUCCNAAAAAGGA